rnacentral:misc_RNA from 1 species
UUUCCGUAGGUGAACCUGCGGAAGGAUCAUUAUCGUACAACAUGUGAGGGGCAUGCGAGGGCUGUCGCUCUCCUAAAAGUGGUGCACGCGUGAGUGUGUCUUCUUGCAUAAUAAUCCGUCACACCCUUUGUGCAUCACCGCGUGGGCACCAUGCGGAAUCAUCGCGGCGGGGUACUCGCGUUUUCACACAUACCCCCCAUUUAAAAGUGUAGAAUGACCACAUUUCUGCAAUCAAUACAACUUUCAACAACGGAUCUCUUGGCUCUC